rnacentral:rRNA from 1 species
UAAUACGUAGGGGGCGAGCGUUGUCCGGAUUCAUUGGGCGUAAAGAGCUCGUAGGCGGCUUGAUAAGUCGGGUGUGAAACCCUCAGGCUCAACCUGGGGUCGCCACUCGAUACUGUCAUGGCUAGAGUCCGGUAGGGGACCACGGAAUUCCUGGUGUAGCGGUGAAAUGCGCAGAUAUCAGGGGGAACACCGGUGGCGAAGGCGGUGGUCUGGGCCGGCACUGACGCUGAGGAGCGAAAGCGUGGGUAGCAAACAGGAUUAGAUACCCUGGUAGUCCACGCCGUAAACGUUGGGCACUAGGUGUGGGGCCUCAUCAACGGGUUCCGUGCCGCAGCUAACGCAUUAAGUGCCCCGCCUGGGGAGUACGGCCGCAAGGCUAAAACUCAAAGGAAUUGACGG